UACGGAGGGUGCAAGCGUUAUCCGGAUUCACUGGGUUUAAAGGGUGCGUAGGCGGGCAGGUAAGUCCGUGGUGAAAUCUCUGAGCUUAACUCAGAAACUGCCAUGGAUACUAUUUGUCUUGAAUGUUGUGGAGGUAAGCGGAAUAUGUCAUGUAGCGGUGAAAUGCUUAGAUAUGACAUAGAACACCAAUUGCGAAGGCAGCUCGUUACACGAAGAUUGACUCUGAGGCACGAAAGCGUGGGGAUCAAACAGG
rnacentral:rRNA from 1 species